rnacentral:rRNA from 1 species
AGAGUUUGAUCCUGGCUCAGAUUGAACGCUGGCGGGAUUCUUUACACAUGCAAGUCGAACGGCAGCACGGGGGCAACCCUGGUGGCGAGUGGCGAACGGGUGAGUAAUGCAUCGGAACGUGUCCUUUUAAGUGGGGAUAUCGCACCGAAGGUGUGCUAAUACCGCAUAAUCUCUACGGAGAAAAGCAGGGGAUCGCAAGGACCUUGCGCUUUUGGAGCGGCCGAUGUCUGAUUAGCUAGUUGGUCAGGUAAAGGCUUAACAAGGCGUCGAUCAGUAGCUGGUCUGAGAGGAUGAUCAGCCACACUGGGACUGACACGGCCCAAACUCCUACGGGAGGCAAGCAGUGGGGAAUUUUGACAAUGGGGGAAACCCUGAUCCAGCCAUGCCGCGUGAGGGAAGAAGGCCUUCGGGUUGUAAACCUCUGUCUUUGGGGACGAAGAAAAUGACGGUACCCAAGGAGGAAGCCCGUGAGUGAAGAAGGCCUUCGGGUUGUAAAGCUCUUUCAGCCGGAACGAAACGGUCACGGCUAAUACCUGUGACCACUGACGGUACCGGAAGAAGAAGCACCGGCUAACUACGUGCCAGCAGCCGCGGUAAUACGAAGGGUGCAAGCGUUACCCGGAAUUACUGGGCGUAAAGCGUGCGCAGGCGGUUUUGUAAGUCAGAUGUGAAAUCCCCGGGCUUAACCUGGGAACUGCGUUUGAAACACAAGGCUAGAGUGUGGCAGAGGGGGGUGGAAUCACGUGUAGCAGUGAAAUGCGUAGAGAUGUGGGGAGGAACACCGAUGGCGAAGGCAGCCCCCUGGGUUAAACACUGACGCUCAAUUCCGCGUGUAGCAGUGAAAUGCGUAGAUAUGCGGAGGAACACCGAUGGCGAAGGCAAUCCCCUGGGCCUGGAUUGACGCUCAUAGGCUCGAAAGCGUGGGGAGCAAACAGGAUUAGAUACCCUGGUAGUCCACGCCCUAAACGAUGUCAACUAGUUGUCGGGUCUUAACGGACUUGGUAACGCAGCUAACGCGUGAAGUUGACCGCCUGGGGAGUACGGUCGCAAGAAUACCCUGGUAGUCCACGCCCUAAACUAUGGAUACUAAGUGUCGGCGGGUUACCGCCGGUGCCGCAGCUAACGCAUUAAGUAUCCCGCCUGGGAAGUACGGCCGCAAGGUUAAAACUCAAAGGGAAUUGACGGGGACCCGCACAAGCGGUGGAUUAUGUGGAUUAAUUCGAUGCAACGCGAAAAACCUUACCUACCCUUGACAUGUACCGAAGCCCGCUGAGAGGUGGGUGUGCCCGAAAGGGAGCGGUAACACAGGUGCUGCAUGGCUGUCGUCAGCUCGUGUCGUGAGAUGUUGGGUUAAGUCCCGCAACGAGCGCAACCCCUUGUCAUUAAUUGCCAUCAUUCAGUUGGGCACUUUAAUGAAACUGCCGGUGAUAAACCGGAGGAAGGUGGGGAUGACGUCAAGUCAUCAUGGUCCUUACGUCCAGGGCUACACACGUGCUACAAUGGUCGGUACAGAGGGUCGCGAGCCCGCAAGGUGGAGCCAAUCCCAGAAAGCCGACCUCAGUGCGGAUUGUCGUCUGCAACUCGACGGCAUGAAGCUGGAAUCGCUAGUAAUCGUGGAUCAGCUACGCC